rnacentral:rRNA from 1 species
CAAUAGCGUAUAUUAAAGUUGUUGCGGUUAAAAAGCUCGUAGUUGGAUUUCUGCCGAGGACGACCGGUCCGCCCUCCGGGUGAGUAUCUGGUUUGGCCUGGGCAUCUUCUUGGAGAACGUAGCUGCACUUGACUGUGUGGUGCGGUGUCCAGGACUUUUACUUUGAGGAAAUUAGAGUGUUUCAAGCAGGCACACGCCUUGAAUACAUUAGCAUGGAAUAAUAAGAUAGGACCUCGGUUCUAUUUUGUUGGUUUCUAGAGCUGAGGUAAUGAUUAAUAGGGAUAGUUGGGGGCAUUCGUAUUUAACUGUCAGAGGUGAAAUUCUUGGAUUUGUUAAAGACGGACUACAGCGAAAGCAUUUGCCAAGGAUGUUUUCAUUGA